rnacentral:tRNA from 1 species
GUCCGCGUGGCCUAAUGGACAAGGCGUCUGACUUCGGAUCAGAAGAUUGCAGGUUCGAGUCCUGACGCGGACG